rnacentral:lncRNA from 1 species
UAAGUAUCAAACACCAAGGUGAAUGUGAACAAAAAUAAGAAGAAGAAAAACGACCAUCGGAAUAAAAUGAGAAAACGAAAUGUAAUCGAUGGUUCAAAAGAAGCACUCACCGAAGGAAAAACACUCAGAAAAAAAAAGAAUAUCAAAGAAAAACCUGAGCAAUUGAAAAAGAAAAGAAUUAAAAGGAACAAAGACAGUGAAAAGAAUAAUGACAUUGACUAUAAACCCAAAACUACUUGUUUUCC